CGGCAUCUGUCUCGAGCGCACCAACCCGGACGACGCGUACAACGUGCUGUGGACGCCCUGCUGCCGACACUUCUUCCACAGGCCCUGUCUCCAGAGAAUGGCUUACCAUUUUGGAUACUUUUUCUAUUGCCCAGGAUGCAGGAACAAGGACAACAUCAGCGGGUUUUUGAAACACAUGCGACACUUUGGAAUCUUUAUCCCGAAGAGGGACGCCAGCUGGGAAAUGGUGCCGAACGCGUUUGGUGAGCUGCUUGAACGACACCUGAUGUGUGACGUGCGCUACUGCCUAUGCAGCCGGGGCAGGGCUCACCAGGACAGCGAGGACGAUAGGUGGGGCCCAGAGAGAUGGUAUAGUAUGUUGCUACUCCGCGUGCCAGGUUGUUGAGAACUUGUUUGGGAUUGAUUUGGUGUCAUCAAAGCACCAACACUCGGAAUGCAGGUACACUGUCGUUAGUAUCCAUGGCUUGCAGGCGACCAUAAAAUGUUAGAGCAAUAUGAUUGAUCAGUCUCGUGAAAAUGGUGCCGCUGCUCCACCAACGCACUAGCAAUCGGAGUUUUUAUCUUAUGAGCAGCAUCCCAGACUAGGGUGUUCAUGUAUUUCGUGCGUGCUCGUCGUAGCCUGGUUUGCCCGCUGGGGCCCAGCUCAAGCUGAUCCAAUGCCUCGAACCUGACGCCUCUGACCCGAUACUUUUGACUCGACCGCAUGAGAUCC